rnacentral:tRNA from 1 species
UGGCUCAGUGGUAGAGCGCUUGCCUUGCAUGCAUGAGGGCCUGUGUUCGAUUCCUCAG